rnacentral:rRNA from 1 species
AGAGUUUGAUCAUGGCUCAGGACGAACGCUGGCGGCGUGCUUAACACAUGCAAGUCGAGCGAUGAAGCUCCUUCGGGAGUGGAUUAGCGGCGGACGGGUGAGUAACACGUGGGUAACCUGCCUCAUAGAGGGGAAUAGCCUUUCGAAAGGAAGAUUAAUACCGCAUAAGAUUGUAGUACCGCAUGGUACAGCAAUUAAAGGAGUAAUCCGCUAUGAGAUGGACCCGCGUCGCAUUAGCUAGUUGGUGAGGUAACGGCUCACCAAGGCGACGAUGCGUAGCCGACCUGAGAGGGUGAUCGGCCACAUUGGGACUGAGACACGGCCCAGACUCCUACGGGAGGCAGCAGUGGGGAAUAUUGCACAAUGGGGGAAACCCUGAAUGCAGCAACGCCGCGUGAGUGAUGACGGCCUUCGGGUUGUAAAACUCUGUCUUUGGGGACGAUAAUGACGGUACCCAAGGAGGAAGCCACGGCUAACUACGUGCCAGCCGCCGC